rnacentral:rRNA from 1 species
GACGAACGCUGGCGGCGUGCUUAACACAUGCAAGUCGAGCGGUAAGGCCCUUUCGGGGGUACACGAGCGGCGAACGGGUGAGUAACACGUGGGUGACCUGCCUCUAGCUCUGGGAUAAGCCUGGGAAGCUGGGUCUAAUACCGGAUAUGACCUCGCGGUGCAUGUUGCGGGGUGGAAAGCCUUGUGCGGCUAGGGAUGGGCCCGCGGCCUAUCAGCUUGUUGGUGGGGNGAUGGCCUACCAAGGCGACGACGGGUAGCCGGCCUGAGAGGGCGACCGGCCACACUGGGACUGAGACACGGCCCAGACUCCUACGGGAGGCAGCAGUGGGGAAUCUUGCGCAAUGGGCGAAAGCCUGACGCAGCGACGCCGCGUGAGGGAUGACGGCCU